rnacentral:rRNA from 1 species
GAUGAACGCUGGCGGCGUGCCUAAUACAUGCAAGUCGAGCGAACAGAUGAGGAGCUUGCUCCUCUGACGUUAGCGGCGGACGGGUGAGUAACACGUGGAUAACCUACCUAUAAGACUGGGAUAACUUCGGGAAACCGGAGCUAAUACCGGAUAAUAUAUUGAACCGCAUGGUUCAAUAGUGAAAGACGGUUUUGCUGUCACUUAUAGAUGGAUCCGCGCCGCAUUAGCUAGUUGGUAAGGUAACGGCUUACCAAGGCAACGAUUCGUAACCCACCCGAGAGGGUCAUACGGCCCACCGGAACAUGGACCCAGUCCCAGACCCGCAGGGGGGGGAUCAGUAGGAAUUCUUCCCCAUUGGGCGAAAGCCUGCCGGGCCACCGCCCCGUGAGUGAUAAAGUCCUUCGGAUCGAAAACCUCUGUUAUUAGGGAAAAACAAAUUUGAAAAAACCUUUGCCCGUCUUGAGGGUUCCAAUCAAAAAAGCCCCGGCUAACUGCCU